GACGAACGCUGGCGGCGUGCCUAAUACAUGCAAGUAGAACGCUGAAGAGAGGAGCUUGCUCUUCUUGGAUGAGUUGCGAACGGGUGAGUAACGCGUAGGUAACCUGCCUUGUAGCGGGGGAUAACUAUUGGAAACGAUAGCUAAUACCGCAUAACAAUGGAUGACACAUGUCAUUUAUUUGAAAGGGGCAAUUGCUCCACUACAAGAUGGACCUGCGUUGUAUUAGCUAGUAGGUGAGGUAACGGCUCACCUAGGCGACGAUACAUAGCCGACCUGAGAGGGUGAUCGGCCAGACUGGGACUGAGACACGGCCCAGACUCCUACGGGAGGCAGCAGUAGGGAAUCUUCGGCAAUGGGGGCAACCCUGACCGAGCAACGCCGCGUGAGUGAAGAAGGUUUUCGGAUCGUAAAGCUCUGUUGUAAGUCAAGAACGAGUGUGAGAGUGGAAAGUUCACACUGUGACGGUAGCUUACCAGAAAGGGACGGCUAACUACGUG
rnacentral:rRNA from 1 species